rnacentral:rRNA from 1 species
AGAGUUUGAUCCUGGCUCAGAUUGAACGCUGGCGGAAUGCUUUACACAUGCAAGUCGAACGGCAGCACGGGAGCUUGCUCCUGGUGGCGAGUGGCGAACGGGUGAGUAAUACCUAGGAACAUGUCCAGUAAUGGGGGAUAACGCAGCGAAAGCUGUGCUAAUACCGCAUACGCCCCACGGGGGAAAGCGGGGGAUUCGCAAGAACCUCGCGUUAUUGGAGUGGCCUAGGCCUGAUUAGCUAGUUGGUGAGGUAAAGGCUCACCAAGGCGACGAUCAGUAGCUGGUCUGAGAGGAUGAUCAGCCACACUGGACUGAGACACGCC